CUCUGAAGUUGUUUAGCCUUAUUUGAAAAUGCCUUAUGCAUUAUUUCAGGUGUAAGAAGAUGAUGAUGAGAGGCCUGCAGAAGCCAGGCAAAGAAGCCUUGAAUGCUGCCUAGACCUCUGUUAACCUUUCGUCCUGCCAUCCACCAUCCUGCCAAUAAGAGAAUCCCUUUCAAACGUGAAGCACGGAAAGUCCAAACCAGCACGUUUCCCUCUUUUCUCUGGGGAAAAGAGUGCAGUGAUGAACAGACAAAUGGAGCUGGUCCCCAGUGCUAAACUGCAAAACCACAGGCUUCAGCAAAGCCCUUCAAGCCCACCUGUCCCCCAGCAGAGUUACUGCUCCUCUUUUUGACUCAGGUCUGGAAAUAUCAAGAGGUAUGGAAAAUCCAUUAAGAAUAAGUAAAUUACCCUCCCUGCAAGACUGCCAGCUCCAUAAGCACUUCCCCAGCUGCUUAGAGACUGUGGGGAUGCUCACAGGACCAGGAGACCACAGAUGUUGCUGGCGCAAAUGUGGGGGAGUCUGAGAUUUGGGUUGUCUUCCCCUUCCCUCUACAGCAGGAUCUCUGCACAUCCAGCAACCUUGCUGGGUUUUCCAGAUGUCCAGACAGCCUGAUGUGUGUCUCUGGGAUGUCCUAUUGCAGGCCAGGGCUCUGGCAUCACUGCUUUGAAGGCAGUGGCAACAGGGAAGGAAUAGAUCCGAUUUCCUAAAGGAAAAAUGUGAUUUUGUGUUGAAUUUUCUUUUUCCUCCUGGAGGGUCCUAAAGCACUCACCAAGCUGUUAGGAGGCAGGGAUAGAAAAGUGAAAGGGGUUAAGAACUAAGGGACGUGGUUUAAUGAUGGCACUCGGAAGGUCAGCUUGAUGGCUGGUCUUGAUGGUCUUGAAGGUUUUCUCCACCGAAGAUGAUUUUGUGAUUCCAAGAGAGUAGGGUAGGGAGGGAAGUCCAAGCACUCCAUCAAAACCUUCUGCUGGGGGCAGCACAGCAGGCUCCUCAAUGGCCAUCCACCAGAAUGAAAACAUCACCAACUGAUGGCAGCUGCACUGUGACCACGUUGAUCCCACAGCUGUGUCACACAGUGCUGCUGUGACUGUUGUGGCCUGGCCUGCCCUGCAUCCUUGGCUACUGGCUUCUGACACCAAGCCACAGCUCAGGACAUCGCAGCAUGUCAGCACGUGUUCAACCCUGUGCUGAGAGACAGGCAAAUAGGAAAACGCUUUGGCAGAGUCCCACUGCCUGAACACAACUUGUUUCGUGCAUUUCUUAGAUCAACAGAACUUG
rnacentral:lncRNA from 1 species